AUUGAACGCUGGCGGCAGGCCUAACACAUGCAAGUCGAACGAGUGGCGGACGGGUGAGUAAUGUCUGGGAAACUGCCUGAUGGAGGGGGAUAACUACUGGAAACUAUAGCUAAUACCGCAUACCCCAGCAUGUGCCCAGAUGGGAUUAGCUAGUUGGUGGGGUAACGGCUCACCUAGGCGACGAUCCCUAGCUGGUCUGAGAGGAUGACCAGCCACACUGGAACUGAGACACGGUCCAGACUCCUACGGGAGGCAGCAGUGGGGAAUAUUGCACAAUGGGCGAAAGCCUGAUGCAGCCAUGCCGCGUGUAUGAAGAAGGCCUUCGGGUUGUAAAGUACUUUCAGCGGGGAGGCGUUACCCGCAGAAGAAGCACCGGCUAACUCCGUGCCAGCAGCCGCGGUAAUAC
rnacentral:rRNA from 1 species